rnacentral:lncRNA from 1 species
AAAAAGCAUGCUGAUAGUUUAGAAAGGCGAUCAUGCUUUACAAGUCUCCAUGAAACUGGAAAUUGACCUCUGAAGUGCGACCGCAGUUCAACAAAAUUUUAGCCAUUGUGACUGCUUUUUCAAUUAGGCAAUCGCACUUGGCAAGCAUGCCUGCGAUUCUCCUUGAAUUUUGCAAAAAUCUAGCCGUUAUAGUAUUUUUAAAAAGAGCUUUAAUGCAAAUCUAGCCAUUAUUUUACCUCCACUAAGGCUAUAUAAGGCUCAUUUGAUGGACAUUCAUCAAUUUUCAAAAGCUUUAUAUCUUCUAAACUUUCAAAUACUUUUUUUUACUUUCAUCUUCUAUAAUCUUCUUCAACUUCUUCCAUCUCUAACCAUGAGGUCAAAGAAAUCCAUUAGGAGAUCCUUAUUCUUCUCAAAAUAUUUAAGAAAGAAUGAAGGGCAUUGAUGAUGAGACAAAAAUAAAUUUUAUAACAAUAGAGAGGAAAGAUGUUCAAGCCGGUCGCUAUUUUGAUGAAGAAUCUCUUACUAAGCUAUGUGUGUCUCAAUAUACCUUAUAAGAUAAUUUAGGUUUAAUGGACUUCUUUCUACCCCAAUCUUUAGACAUAGGGUGUGAGAAUCUCAGCAAAGAAUUUUUCUCCUUUUUGGUGAUCAAUAAAAAGAGUGAUAGAGAUGAGUAUCAUGGGAUAGAAUUUUGGUUGUUUGGAGAGAAAAAGAACCUUUUUAGAACUCAAUUCUCCUUCAUUUUUGGAUUUCAAGAGAGAAGCCUUAUGAGAAUAAUAGAAAAUUUUGUUGCGAUGCCUUUCUCCCUUUCUCAAUUUUAGAGACAAAUAUCCACCAAAGACACCCACAUCAAAGACUCUCUUUCUAAAGACCUCAAGUUACUUUCUCAUUGGGUAGUGCAUAGGAUGAUUGCCUCUAAUAUCCAUGCAAGGGAUAAUGGGAUGGAGAAAGUACCUUAAAAGGAUCUUUUCUUUCUUUAUGCCAUGAUUCAUGGUAAGAGAAUCCUAACCUCAAAAUUCUUUCUUGACCACCUCUUUCACCUUGGGAACACCUAAAAAGGUGUUCUUCUUGUGUCUAUUUACAUCACAAAAAUAGCAAACCACCUUCAACUCCUUACCCCUCUUAACAAAACCUAUCUCAUUCCUCCAAUAGCUCCCAUCUCUUUAGGCCUACCAUUCUUUGAGCAUACAAAGGUGAUUAGACUUGGGCCUAAGUGGGAAAUGGAUGGUGAGUUCUUCUUGCUUAUUGGAAAAUUUAUGGAUGAUAAAAAGAAGAUGAAAAAGGAUCAUAGAAUCCUAAGUGAAUCUACCCCUUCUACAUUUGAAGGCCAAAGCUCUUUCUCUUUCGAAGACAAGGUUCUUAAGCAAAUGGAGAGGACUUGAAACUAUCUCCAUCAUUUGCAUGCAAACUUAGUGGAAAUUCAAAAGAUCUAUAAGAUUCCUCAUUGCCAUGUUGAGGAUGGGAAAGAAGAGGAAGAAGAGGGACUAGUUCCCCCCACUCAUGUUAAUUCAAGUAGUAGAGGCAAAGGAAAGGAGCCUGUGGUUCAAAAGAAAGACAAGGAAAAAGAGGAUGAAGAAGAAGAUUGACCAUCUUUCUUAUUUUUUUCUUUUUACAUAUUUUUUUUCCUUUUCAUGCAUUCAUUUCUCCUUGAUCACACAUUUUCUUUGCAUUCUUUUCCUUAUCUUAUUAAUGCAACUCUCAUUUCUUUAUUGUUCUAUUGUGUUAUGUCUUUUAUAUUCUCUUAUUGUCUAUCUUUUUGCUUUUGCCAAGGGAAAGAGAAUGAGAUAAUUAAUUAUUUAGAAAAUAAAAUAAGGACAAUAAUUAAAGGGGAGAAAUAAAGAUAAAAAAAAGAAAUAUCAUAAUAAGGGGAGCGAUUUAGUCUAAGUAAUUAUGUCUUUUCUUGCUAUCUUGCUAUAUAACUCAAAGAAAUAUAAUUCUAUCUUUUGAAUCCUAUUCAUUACUUACCUAAUUACACUUAUAAACAUUCAAUUUUAUCUUUUUUAUUAAUUUGGUUGUCAUAAUUAUAAAAGGGAAAUUGUUGACCUAAGGGUCAAUUGAUCUCUAUUUUGAUUUUAACAUUCAAAUUGAGUGUCGCUAAUAUCAUAUUUGAGUGUCUAUUUGAUAGUGCAUUAAGGGUUCAAUCAUAAGGCAAGGUUCCUCAAGCUCUUAAGUAAAGAUUGCAAAAUAUCCUAAAAAGCGCAAGGGUACCUUGAAAGCGCAAUGGUGCUUUUUAUAUGGUCAAAAUUGAGUAACUAUGAAAGAGGACCUUCUGGCAAUACCCUAAGGAUGGAGAGACACAUGGCAGUCAAGUGUCAACACCUCUAGAAGCACGGGGCAGGGUAAUUGGGGUCAAAAGCUCCAAUAUAGUAGGCAAUUAUGCGACGAGAAGCAGAAGGGUCUUUUGAGCAUGCCCAAGACAAGUGCGAGCGCGACAUUCUCGCGCGAGGGCUGUUUUCGCAUUUAAUACGAUGUCAGUGACCAUUGCAAAUUUAGCCAACAAGUCAGAGCUACAUGUCUGGAGCGGUUGGAGUCUCAACAACUCUUUUCA